AUUGAACGCUGGCGGCAUGCUUUACACAUGCCAGUCGAACGGCAGGGCGCGCUUCGGCCUGGCGGCGCGUGUGGAAAGGGUGUGUGAUACACGUGAAUGUGCUCAGCUGUGGGGGAUAGUAAGGCGAAAGACGGAUUAAUAAUGCCUACGACCUGCGGGUGAUAGAGGGGGAUCUUUGGACAUCGUGCUCUUGGAGCGGUCGACGGCCGACUAGUUAGCUGGUGGGGUAAAGGCCUACUAAGGCGACUAUCUGUAGCUGGCCUGAGAGGAGGACCAGCCGCACGGGGACUGGAACACGGCCCAUACUCCUGCGGUAGGCAGCAGUGGGGAACUGUGGACAGUGGGCGAGAGCCUGGUCCAGCGGUGCGGCGUGUGUGAUGAAGGCCUUCGGGUUGGAAAGCACGUUUUGCGGUAACGAAAAGGACUGGGCCAAUACCACGGGUCGAUGACGGUACCCGCAGAAGAAGCACCGGCUAACUACGUG
rnacentral:rRNA from 1 species